rnacentral:rRNA from 1 species
UGCAGUCGAACGGUUGUAGCAAUACAGCAGUGGCAGACGGGUGAGUAACACGUGGGAACCUACCUAGGGGUACGGAAUAACUCAGGGAAACUUGUGCUAAUACCGUAUACGACCUUCGGGUGAAAGAUUUAUCGCCCCUAGAUGGGCCCGCGUUGGAUUAGCUAGUUGGUGGGGUAAAAGCCUACCAAGGCGACGAUCCAUAGCUGGUCUGAGAGGAUGAUCAGCCACACUGGGACUGAGACACGGCCCAAACUCCUACGGGAGGCAGCAGUAGGGAAUCUUGGACAAUGGGCGAAAGCCUGAUCCAGCCAUGCCGCGUGAGUGAUGAAGGCCUUAGGGUUGUAAAGCUCUUUCGCCAGGGAAGAUAAUGACGGUACCUGGAUAAGAAGCCCCGGCAAACUUCGUGCCAGCAGCCGCGGUAAUACGAAGGGGGCUAGCGUUGUUCGGAAUUACUGGGCGUAAAGCGCACGUAGGCGGUUUUCCAAGUUGGAGGUGAAAUCCCUGGGCUCAACCCGGGAACUGCCUCCAAAACUGGAUGACUCGAGUCCGAGAGAGGUGAGUGGAAUUUCCAGUGUAGAGGUGAAAUUCGUAGAUAUUGGAAAGAACACCAGUGGCGAAGGCGGCUCACUGGCUCGGUACUGACGCUGAGG